UUCUAAGUCAAUUCAAAAGAUCAAAGAGACUAGUACGGAUGUUUGGCAAGGAACUCAGCUCUUAGCCAUAGAUGUUGCUGCCAUGGCAGGAUUACUCAAAAGGGCUCUUACUGGUGAUGAACUCACGGAGAAGGAAAAGAAGGCUCUCCGAAGAACUCUUACUAAUAUGGCAUCAGUUGUUCCCAUAGGAAUUCUCAUGCUUCUUCUUGUUAUUGUUGUUGGACAUGCAGCGAUGUUGGCUGUCAUUCAAAGAUAUGUACCUUCUUUGCUAUGAAUCAUUGUGAUUCUUCUUCUACCUGUGGGGGCAUGUAUUUUAUGUUUACUGGACUAAAACUGCUACUCUUUCCUUGGUUACACUUACAGAUACCAUCCACUUAUGGUCCAGAGAGGCUGGAUCUGUUGAGGUAGCUUGAGAAAGUGAAAGAGAUGGAGACCGCUGAUAAUGGCUGUGAUGAAAUGACAGAAGCAAUUAGCUCAAGCAGCAGCAAUCAACAAUAAUUUCAUUUCCUGAUAUUAAAUCAGCAAUGAUGAUACGUACUGGAAAUUGUACAAAUCAAGAUUGACCAUUUCAUAUAGGUAUAUACUUUGAUUAUUUCACACAAAGGGCUGUUGACUGGCCUCUGAAAGAGGUUGAAUUAAAUUUUUAGUCUAGGAAAGAAGUGUUAAGCUUCAUGUUCCCAUUUCUUUGGUAGUCCCCUGGUGCCUGUUGUGUUUCAAUGCAUUACUCUGUAUAUAACAAUAGCUAGGAUAAUUAGUAUUCACAGAAUCAAUAG